rnacentral:lncRNA from 1 species
GGUAGAGCCUUUUGGGAGCUCAGUCUGAUGCAGGGUAAUCUGACCUAAACUUUAUCUCCUGUCCUGAGCCCUUUGCAGCUUUCAAAGAUUCUCAAGCUCUACAUGAUUCUGCAGACAUUUUCAUACAAUAGCUGGUUUUCCCUUCUUUUUGGGACUCUGCAGAUUCUUUAUUUAUCAUCUAAGGAAAGUGUAUAUAAAAUCACAUCCAGCAUUUCAUUUGUUCCCAUUGAGGGGUUUAUUCACAUUAAUUUGUCAUACUGCUGGAGACAGAACUCCUAUUUGGUCAUUUAUUUCAAACCAAACAUUCUUUACCUUUUUUGUCUCUGAAAAUCUUUAAGAAUAACAUUUGUAAAUGCAUAAAACCAAGUACACAGGAUUACAAAGGAAAUCAAUUAUAUUGAAAAAGUUUACAACCUUUUAAAAGACAAAUUUACGAGAUAGUAAUAAAUGUGUUUCUUCACGCUGUAAGUAACAAGACUUACUGGUAGGUCUACAGCUAUUGUAAUUUCAAAGUAGUGAAAGUAAAUGACAUUUUGAGACAAUUGUAACAACUAUAAUGUGAUAAUAUAUCUGAUUUCUAUAUGUGGCAGAAUCCCGGCUAAGAGCUAUUUCCAUCACAGUUUGUUGUCUACAUUUAUCAUUGAAGAAAAGGCUAAAUUUGAGUUAGGGGUUAGUAGAAACAAAAAGGUUCAUUUUUUUUCCCAUUCAAGUUCAUGAGACCCCUUAUUUAAAGGGAUUUCCAUUCCAGUUCUUGUAAUAUAUCCAGAGUGAAAGUUUCCAGUUAUUCUUAGGAUAAAGAUGAAAACCCUUGAUGUGUUUAUGAGACCUGGCCCCCUCCCUACCUCUUAAUAUUCCUGUUUUCAAUCUCCCUUGCUCUGCACUUCAGCAAACUCUGCUAGACUGUGAACCCCAGGAAAAGCUCACACCUGUUUCUGCUCACUAUAAAACUUUCAGAGCAUAUUAUAGAGUCUGUCAGAGUAAGUGAGCUUUAAUACGUGUCGAAUGGAUCCUGACUACACAAAGGAAGGAUCUAGUCUCAUGUUUACAUAUGGAUCUAGUCUCAUUUUUACAUAUGAAGAAGAUGAUGGCCAGAGAGGUUGAAUGCCAGUCAGCUCCUGGGAUACAAGGUGAGUUAGGAACAGAGCAGGGAUUACGACUCAGAUGUGGACAUCUUUCCCACACCACAUUAUUCCUCUCCCUUGUCCCCACCACCCGUUAGCUUAUUUAUGCCCCACCACAGCAGGGUCUCACCUUCUCCCUCCAAAGUAUGCCUCUUGGGCCCGGAGUUUCUUGAGCCUAUACUUGGUUUGGCAACAGCAAACUAACAUUUUCUCCCACUCAACCACUGCCCUUGCAGCUAGCUGCCUGUGAACAGGAGUGCAUUGUGACUACAGGUGCAAUUUCAAUCCUGUGAGGUGUGAAGCUUGUUUGUUUUCGGAGACAGGGUCUCAUUCUGUCACACAGGCUGAAGUGCAGUGGUGCGAUCAUCGUUCACUGCUGGCUCCAACUCCUGGGCUCAAGCCAUCCUCCCACCUCAGCCUCCUGAGCAGCUGAGACUACAGGUGUGUGCCACCAUGCCCAGAUAAUUUAUUUGUUUGUAGAGACAGGAUCUCGCUAUGUCGACCAGGCUGGUCUUGAACUCCUGGUCUCAAGCGAUCCUCCUGCCUCAACCUCCAAAGUACUGGGAUCACAGGUGUGAGCCAUAGUGCCCGGCAGUAGUUCAUUGAAGCUUGGCCAGAGACCCUUGGCCAUGAGCUUUUCAAAUCAUAUCACCUGCUCCCCUAAGGGCCCAUUUUUAACAAGCAGCACUGUAUUCUUCUGUGGAUCAGAAUUACUGACCAGCAUUUUGUAAACCAGACAUUUUAUAUAAAGCUGAUUCUUCAACAGAGGACAAAAACCCCUACUGUAAUAUACUGACCAAGAGCCACAGAUUAAAGACAGAAAGACGGCGUGUGAACAGGCAUUGCUAUCCCUACCGCCAUCUUUUUAAAGAGAAGACUGAGUCCCGGGGAACCCAUGCUGGGGACGUCAAGCCUAGAAGAGCAGAGUCCAAGGACUGGACUGACUGCUCGUCUUCAAACAUCUGAAGGGCUGUCAAGAGGAAAGUCUUUGUCUUGUUCUUGGAGAGCCCCAAGGGCACAACCAGGCCCCAUGAGUGGCUGCUCAGUGAAGCCAAUUUUUGCUCAGAAUUCUGAUAAUGGAAUGGGAGCUUCACAAAGCUAAGUGCUUCCAGCAGGGCGAGUGAACAGUUGUAAAAACUGUUUAUAGAAAUUCCUGUGUUUGAAGAUGAAAGUUUCUUAAAGUCUGAGCCAUGGGAUACCCAAUGGUGAUUUUCAAGUACAACAGCAACUCACUGCUCCAUCCCUGCUGAGGCUUUAGGAAGAGAUCUAGUCCUCGAUUCUUCUGAAACUUUCACUAAAAUAAAACUAGUGUACAAACGUAAGGAGUGGUGGCAAGGCUAGAUACAGUACGAUCCACCGCCCCCUUCAGGCUACAGACAAGUAAACGAAGGCUCUGGGAAGGCAGCUGACUUGCCUAUAAACCAGGCCGAUGCUUUUCUAGUAGUUUCCUGAUCUACCCUGCUUCUCCUGUCAGGUUACUGCAGCAAACAGGGAAACAGCACUCCAACAAGUGCCAUGCCGAAGCAGAAAGACAACCUUUAAAACUGGAAGUCCAUGACUGGUGAGUUUCAAUAAUUUAUUAAAAUAGCAUAUUUAACCAUGGUUAACCAAGAAUAUGUUAACUUUGUGCCCCCCAACCUGCCCCCGCCCCAGAUACGCAGCAAAACACAGUAGUGAUUUCAAAUAUCCUUGAUCAUGACCAACAGGAAUAUUUCAAAGUCAAGUUUGCAACUCAAAAGUAGACCUUGGAAAAACUCUGAAUUAAAAGAGAAACAUAAAGCUCUCACACAGAAUUCUUUUAUCUGCCCUAAAAUCAA